UACGUAUGGGGCAAGCGUUAUCCGGAUUUACUGGGUGUAAAGGGAGCGUAGGCGGCCUGGCAAGCCUGAUGUGAAAUACCGGGGCCUAACCCCGGGGCUGCAUUGGGAACUGCCAGGCUGGAGUGCCGGAGGGGCAGGCGGAAUUCCUAGUGUAGCGGUGAAAUGCGUAGAUAUUAGGAGGAACACCAGUGGCGAAGGCGGCCUGCUGGACGGUGACUGACGCUGAGGCUCGAAAGCGUGGGGAGCAAACAGG
rnacentral:rRNA from 1 species